UGGGGAAUUUUGGACAAUGGGCGCAAGCCUGAUCCAGCCAUGCCGCGUGCGGGAAGAAGGCCUUCGGGUUGUAAACCGCUUUUGUCAGGGAAGAAAUCUUCUGAGUUAAUACCUCGGGAGGAUGACGGUACCUGAAGAAUAAGCACCGGCUAACUACGUGCCAGCAGCCGCGGUAAUACGUAGGGUGCAAGCGUUAAUCGGAAUUACUGGGCGUAAAGCGUGCGCAGGCGGUUUUGUAAGACAGAGGUGAAAUCCCCGGGCUCAACCUGGGAACUGCCUUUGUGACUGCAAGGCUUGAGUGCGGCAGAGGGGGGAUGGAAUUCCGCGUGUAGCAGUGAAAUUGCGUAGAUAUGCGGAGGAACACCGAUGGCGAAGGCAAUCCCCUGGGCCUGCACUGACGCUCAUGCACGAAAGCGUGGGGAGCAAACAGGAUUAGAUACCCUGGUAGUCCACGCCCUAAACGAUGUCAACUGGUUGUUGGGAAGGUUCCUUCUCAGUAACGUAGCUAACGCGUGAAGUUG
rnacentral:rRNA from 1 species